GAUGAACGCUGGCGGCGUGCCUAAUACAUGCAAGUCGAGCGAACAGACGAGGAGCUUGCUCCUCUGACGUUAGCGGCGGACGGGUGAGUAACACGUGGAUAACCUACCUAUAAGACUGGGAUAACUUCGGGAAACCGGAGCUAAUACCGGAUAAUAUAUUGAACCGCAUGGUUCAAUAGUGAAAGACGGUUUUGCUGUCACUUAUAGAUGGAUCCGCGCCGCAUUAGCUAGUUGGUAAGGUAACGGCUUACCAAGGCAACGAUGCGUAGCCGACCUGAGAGGGUGAUCGGCCACACGGGAGCUGGGACACGGUCCAGACUCCUGCGGGAGGCAGCAGUAGGGAAUCUUCCGCAAUGGGCGAAAGCCUGACGGAGCAACGCCGCGUGAGUGAUGAAGGUCUUCGGAUCGUAAAACUCUGUUAUUAGGGAAGAACAAAUGUGUAAGUAACUAUGCACGUCUUGACGGUACCUAAUCAGAAAGCCACGGCUAACUACGUG
rnacentral:rRNA from 1 species